UACGUAGGGUGCGAGCGUUGUCCGGAUUUAUUGGGCGUAAAGAGCUCGUAGGCGGCUCAGUAAGUCGGGUGUGAAACCUCCAGGCUCAACCUGGAGACGCCACCCGAUACUGCUGUGGCUUGAGUCCGGUAGGGGAGCGUGGAAUUCCUGGUGUAGCGGUGAAAUGCGCAGAUAUCAGGAGGAACACCAGCGGCGAAGGCGGCGCUCUGGGCCGGAACUGACGCUGAGGAGCGAAAGCGUGGGUAGCAAACAGG
rnacentral:rRNA from 1 species